AUUGGAUAUAUUCUAGGAUAUG
rnacentral:siRNA from 1 species